rnacentral:rRNA from 1 species
AUCACUCGGCUCGUGUGUCGAUGAAGAGCGCAGCCAACUGUGUGAAUUAAUGUGAACUGCAUACUGCUUUGAACAUCGACAUCUUGAACGCAUAUUGCGGUCACAGGCUUGCCUGUGGCCACGCCUGUCCGAGGGUCGGCUUAUAUAUUAUCACGACGCCCAAAAAGUCGUGGCUUGGGUGAUGCCAACUGACGUGAUUUCCCUGUGCCUGAUAAUCAUUGGUGGUAUAUAGUUGUUGAUUUUGAUCAGGUUGGGUGUCAGGACUAUGGCGUCUCCCUGAUGUAUCCGAACACAUUUGCAUCGUGAGAUGUGACUCGGGUGAGAAUGUGACGACGGAGUCGUGGCUCAGUGUGUUCUAAUCGCGCUGCGUUCGUGCAUUUUCAUUCGGUGUAUGCUUUGUUGUUCGAAGAAUUCUAUCAUCUCCCGACCUCGGAUCAGACGUGAUUACCCGCUGAACUUAAGCAUAUCACUAAGCGGAGGAA